rnacentral:rRNA from 1 species
CCUACGGGAGGCAGCAGUGAGGAAUAUUGGUCAAUGGACGAGAGUCUGAACCAGCCAAGUAGCGUGAAGGAUGACUGCCCUAUGGGUUGUAAACUUCUGUUAUAGGGGAAUAAAAUGUGCCACGGGUGGGAUUUUGUAUGUACCAUAUGAAUAAGGAUCGGCUAACUCCGUGCCAGCAGCCGCGGUAAUACGGAGGAUCCGAGCGUGAUCCGGAUUUAUUGGGGUGACAGGGAGCGUAGGUGGAUUGUUAAGUCAGUUGUGAAAGUUUGCGGCUCCACCGUAAAAUUUCAGUUGAAACUGGCAGUCUUGAGUACAGUAGCGGUGGGCGUACUUCGUUGUGUAGCGG